CCUACGGGGUGCAGCAGUGGGGAAUAUUGGACAAUGGGCGAAAGCCUGAUCCAGCCAUGCCGCGUGUGUGAAGAAGGCCUUCGGGUUGUAAAGCACUUUCAGUGGGGAAGAAAGCCUUGGGGCUAAUACCCUCGAGGAAGGACAUCACCAACAGAAGAAGCACCGGCUAACUCCGUGCCAGCAGCCGCGGUAAUACGGAGGGUGCGAGCGUUAAUCGGAAUUACUGGGCGUAAAGCGCGCGUAGGCGGUCUGAUAAGCCGGUUGUGAAAGCCCCGGGCUCAACCUGGGAACGGCAUCCGGAACUGUCAGGCUAGAGUGCAGGGGAGGAAGGUAGAAUUCCCGGUGUAGCGGUGAAAUGCGUAGAGAUCGGGAGGAAUACCAGUGGCGAAGGCGGCCUUCUGGACUGACACUGACGCUGAGGUGCGAAAGCGUGGGUAGCAAACAGGAUUAGAUACCCCGGUAGUC
rnacentral:rRNA from 1 species